GAUGAACGCUGGCGGCGUGCCUAAUACAUGCAAGUCGAGCGGUAAGGCUCCUGCAGAUUAUUUAAACAGUGAAUUUUCACAAUCCGUCUCCCGGCUAGGAGAAGGAUAAGUUUGAAUGAUGUGCUGGAGUACACGAGCGGCGGACGGGUGAGUAACGCGUAAGAAUGUACCCCAAACUGAGGGAUAAGCACCAGAAAUGG
rnacentral:rRNA from 1 species